GACGAACGCUGGCGGCGUGCUUAACACAUGCAAGUCGAACGCUGAAGACCUGGCUUUUGUUGGGUUGGAUGAGUGGCGAACGGGUGAGUAACACGUGAGUAACCUGCCCUCUUCUUUGGGAUAACGCCCGGAAACGGGUGCUAAUACUGGAUAUUCACUGAUCUUCGCAUGGGGGUUGGUGGAAAGGUUUGUUCUGGUGGGGGAUGGGCUCGCGGCCUAUCAGCUUGUUGGUGGGGUGAUGGCCUACCAAGGCUUUGACGGGUAGCCGGCCUGAUAGGGUGACCGGUCACAUUGGGACUGCGAUACGGCCCAGACGCGUACGGGAGGCGGCAGUGGGGAAUAUUGCACAAUGGGCGAAAGCCUGAUGCAGCGACGCCGCGUGAGGGAUGGAGGCCUUCGGGUUGUAAACCUCUUGCGCUCAGGGGCAGGCCGCAACUGUGGGUUGUAGUGAGGGUAGUGGGUAAAGAAGCGCCGGCUAACUACGUG
rnacentral:rRNA from 1 species